rnacentral:tRNA from 1 species
GACAGCUUGGCCGAGCGGUUAAGGCGAUAGACUCGAAAUCUAUUCUGGGGUAACCCGCCCGUGAGUUCAAGUCUCAACAGCUGUCG